ensembl:rRNA 5S_rRNA 5S ribosomal RNA
GCUUACGGCCAUACCACUCUGAACACGCCCGAUCUCGUCCGAUCUCGGAAGCUAAGCAGGGUCGGGCCUGGUUAGUACUUGGAUGGGAGACCGCCUGGGAAUACCAGGUGCUGUAAGCC